rnacentral:rRNA from 1 species
GUGGGGAAUAUUGCGCAAUGGAGGAAACUCUGACGCAGCAACGCCGCGUGAAGGAUGAAGGUCUUCGGAUUGUAAACUUCUUUGAUGAGGGACGAAGGAAGUGACGGUACCUCAAAAACAAGCCACGGCUAACUACGUGCCAGCAGCCGCGGUAAUACGUAGGUGGCGAGCGUUGUCCGGAAUUACUGGGUGUAAAGGGCGCGUAGGCGGGGAUGUAAGUCAGAUGUGAAAUACCAUGGCUCAACCGUGGGGCUGCAUCUGAAACUAUGUUUCUUGAGUGCUGGAGAGGAAAGCGGAAUUCCUAGUGUAGCGGUGAAAUGCGUAGAUAUUAGGAGGAACACCAGUGGCGAAGGCGGCUUUCUGGACAGUAACUGACGCUGAGGCGCGAAAGCGUGGGGAGCGAACAGG